GGUUUCAUAGUGUAGUGGUUAUCACAUCUGCUUUACAUGCAGAAUGUCCUGGGUUCAAUCCCCAAGUGGAACCA